UGGGGAAUUUUGGACAAUGGGCGAAAGCCUGAUCCAGCAAUGCCGCGUGUGUGAAGAAGGCCUUCGGGUUGUAAAGCACUUUUGUCCGGAAAGAAAUCCUUGGCUCUAAUACAGUCGGGGGAUGACGGUACCGGAAGAAUAAGCACCGGCUAACUACGUGCCAGCAGCCGCGGUAAUACGUAGGGUGCAAGCGUUAAUCGGAAUUACUGGGCGUAAAGCGUGCGCAGGCGGUUUGCUAAGACCGAUGUGAAAUCCCCGGGCUCAACCUGGGAACUGCAUUGGUGACUGGCAGGCUAGAGUAUGGCAGAGGGGGGUAGAAUUCCACGUGUAGCAGUGAAAUGCGUAGAGAUGUGGAGGAAUACCGAUGGCGAAGGCAGCCCCCUGGGCCAAUACUGACGCUCAUGCACGAAAGCGUGGGGAGCAGACAGGAUUAGAUACCCUGGUAGUCCACGCCCUAAACGAUGUCAACUAGUUGUUGGGGAUUCAUUUCCUUAGUAACGUAGCUAACGCGUGAAGUUGACCGCCUGGGGAGUACGGUCGCAAGAUUAAAACUCAAAUGAAUUGACGGGGUCAUAGCUGUUUCCU
rnacentral:rRNA from 1 species